GACGAACGCUGGCGGCGUGCUUAACACAUGCAAGUCGAACGGAAGGGCCCUGCUUUUGUUGGGUUCUCGAUUGGCGAACGGGGGAGUAACACGUGAGUAACCUGCCCUUGACUUUGUGAUAACUUCAGGAAACUGGGGCUAUUACCGGAUAUAAUCUCCUGCUGCAUGGUGUUGGUUGGAAAGUUUCGGCGGUUGUGGAUGGACUCGCGGCUUAUCAGCUUGUUUGUGGGGUAGUGGCUUACCAAGGCUUUGACGGGUAGCCGGCCUGAGAGGGUGACCGGCGACCUUGGGCCUGAGAGAGGGAGCAGAAUCCUACGGGCGGCAGAAGUGGGGAAUAUUGCACAACGGGCGGAAGUCUGAUGCAGAAACGCCGCGUGCGGGAUGACGGCUUUCGGGUUGUAAACAGAUUUCGCCUGUGACGAAGAGUGAGUGACGGUAAUGGGUAAAGAAGCAACGGCUAACUACGUG
rnacentral:rRNA from 1 species